AGACAUGUUGAGUAGCCAAAAAUUCUUUAGCGACUUGUUCUGCUAAUACUAUUUUGGGCUUCCAUUUAUGCAUUCAUGGACACUGGAAGCGUGUACGGAUACGACGCCCGAGUUGUUGUCCAAUUUGAGGAAAAGCUUCAUAGAUCCAAUACUGAAAUAAAAAUAAAAGAAAUAUUAAAUUUUUUAUAUGAUUAAAUUAUAUAUAACAGGGAAAAAAAUAAAAGAAAAAUACCUAAAAUGCAAGUGGAUAACCAUGUAACGAAUAUUUACAAUCCGUUUGGUCAUUUUGUUGCAUCCUUUGUAUUCUUUCGAGGUGUGAUUCUUGCAAUGAAUUUAGUAAAACAAAGUAUGCUUUACAUCCCCACUGAUACAUAAGAAAUUCAUCAAGUUGUUCAACCAUUCUAAGGGUUCUGAAAUCGACGUGUCUUCCAUUUGGUUUUAAAAUACAUUCGACAAACAUAACUAAUUCUAACUUGAAUUUAUCUUCUUGAUUUUCACACAUGUGAAAUACUUCAGAAAGUCUUUUCAUAGUAAUUCUUUUUGAACCAUCGAAGUAUUUAUCCCUAAGGCGAGUAUUAUUGAAAUUCAGAUCAAUAGCUACUUCAUAGCAUGGUAAUCCGGUAAUUAGACAAAAUUUUUGCAUGUCAAAACGGGCCACAUGAUCGUCUAUUCAUACCCAAACUUCAUUAUUUUUGCCGCAGGUGAUAAGUCUCAUUAUAAACUUGUGUAUUAUUUUGCUACUAAAUUUUUCAUUUUGUUUUUUAUACAUACUUCCAUAGAUAAAUCCUUGAAAGUGACUGCAUAAUAAAGAAGUUUGAUCGUCUCCAUCUAUAAAUUCUACAAAAUCUUGAAGGUAUUGAUGAUUUGCAAAUUGAGUAAUGGUAGCAUAAAACCAUUGAUUUGGAGAUUAUAUAUUGUCUACUCAAACUAUAAUUUUCUUAUUUAGACAGCAACUUAGAAAUAGGCACUAACAAACAUUAAAACACGUCUUCAUUUUCUAUUUUGCCUAAUAUGUUUACUCAAACAACAUUGAGUACACCAUUUAUCUAAUGAAAAACAAUAUUCAUCACCAUUUAUCUAAUGAGAAAGGUGAAAAAUAUUUGUUCAACCUAUACAAGUAAGCACAAAUUAUCUGCUCUUUUAUAUGUCAAUGACAAUCCUACAAAGAAUUAUAAAUAAAGAAAACUAAGUUAGAGUACAACUCAUAUGUUAAAUAUAUGGCUAUGGAAUUACUUUCUCAUCAGAGGUUCGAGCCUUGAAGGGCUUAUUUAGACCUAAGACACAUCUAAUAACACAUUAUAUGUGGAUGAAAUUUAGGAUGUGCAAAAAAUUAGUUUAGAUGAAGCACUAAUAGCUGAUAUCAUUAAAUUAUAAGUGCAAUUAAAUACAAUGAAUUAUGGUCGAUUUAAUAUGACCCAUAACAUGUUGAAAUUUAAACUAAUGUUCAAUAUUACUACGAUACAGACUAUUAUUGUAUUAUAAGUGCAAUUAAAUACAAUGAAUUAUGGUUGAUUUAAUAUGACCCAUAACAUGUUAAAAUUUAAACCGAUGUUUAAUAUUACUACGAUAUAGAGUACUAUUGUAAAAUUAAUAGUGAUCAUUUUUUGGCACAUUGUUAUGUUUGUAUUUUAUUUCUCCCUCGCCGUGUUGAACAAUAUCUAUUUUUGGUAGUAGAAGUUGGCUUGGUGAUGCAUAGUUAGAAAGAAUAAAAGUUUUGUGAUUAAAAUGAAAUUGAACUAUUUUUUACCCAAAAAAAAAAAACUUCCUUAUUUUUAAAAUAUUUUGUUGAUAUUCAAAUAUUAAAGUUUGAAUUUAAAUUUGUUGAUACGUGAUUCUUGUAAUCAAAUAUAGAUUAUAUUUGAUAGAUUAUCUGAUGCUUUAAAUAAUUUAAAUAUGUUCAUAUAAAUGUCUUGUUAAAUCGAUUUAUCUAAAUGUAAUUGAUUAUUUGACUUAAAAAAAUAAUAUAUAUAUAUAAAAAAGUAUAUAUUGAAUAAGUACUUAGAUAAAGGAAAAAUGUAAAAAACUAUGAUGAUUGUAAAUAAGAUUAUAAUAUUUUUUGUGGGAUAUUAUAAAGUUAUUUGUAAAAUUAAACAGUUAGGAAUUGAUAUAUAUUUAGUAAAUAUUGAGGUGGGAUUUGGGACGAAGUGUUAUUGAUUUUUUAUUAAUUUAAUUAUUUAAGCAAAAUAAAGUUUUUAUGAAAAUUUUGAUAUUAUUGUGUAUAAUUAUGUGUAUUUGUUACAAAAUUGUCAUAAAAUGUUAUUUUCUUCAUGAAAAUUUGAUUUUUUUUUUUGUUAAGAGUAUUAUGAAAAUGCAAUGUGAGCAUAUCGCACUUGCAGAGUGACACUGCGUAUUUGAAAACUCUAUGAUAUACGGACUAACUUCGCGCAGAGUGAAGUGUGCGCGAAGUGCCUUACUUCGCUCAUCGCGUAUGCCCAUUUCGCGUUGUGCGGGAUGUAAAAAAAACUAAAUAAAUCACCUAAUAAAAAAAAAUUAUUUGACAUUGAACAUGAUCUUAAUUUAAAAAAAAAAAAUUCACGCUACGCGAAACGCACUGCUUCUUUUUGAAGUUCCCUUCGAGGCACUCCGUGCCUCCCUUCAAGGCACUCCGCGCUACGCGAAGUGCGUCUUUGUGAGGCAUAGCGCGGAGUGCCUCACUCCGAGGUAUUCCGCGCUACGCACUAUCAACAAUUUUUAGUUAAAAAAAAGUUUAAAAUAAAACAAAUUAAACAAGUUAAUAUAGUUCUACUACAACUUUUUCCAACUUCAAAUUUUUUCUAUGACAUGAGAACUUAACACUAUAGACUUAAGUUUCAAUUGCUUUUUUAACAUAAUAGUAUGCUAAACUUCAUAUUUUUUAUAUCAUAAAUAUAUUCUAAAUUUAUUUUUAUCACAUAUUUUAUGAAAAUUACCUUUUCCGAUCGUUGAUUACGCGAGAAGCUGGUGUUGAAAAC
rnacentral:lncRNA from 1 species